GACGAACGCUGGCGGCGUGCCUAAUACAUGCAAGUUGAGCGCUGAAGGUUGGUACUUGUACCGACUGGAUGAGCAGCGAACGGGUGAGUAACGCGUGGGGAAUCUGCCUUUGAGCGGGGGACAACAUUUGGAAACGAAUGCUAAUACCGCAUAAAAUCUUUAAACACAAGUUUUAAGUUUGAAAGAUGCAAUUGCAUCACUCAAAGAUGAUCCCGCGUUGUAUUAGCUAGUUGGUGAGGUAAAGGCUCACCAAGGCGAUGAUACAUAGCCGACCUGAGAGGGUGAUCGGCCACAUUGGGACUGAGACACGGCCCAAACUCCUACGGGAGGCAGCAGUAGGGAAUCUUCGGCAAUGGACGAAAGUCUGACCGAGCAACGCCGCGUGAGUGAAGAAGGGUUUCGGAUCGUAAAACUCUGUUGGUAGAGAAGAACGUUGGUGAGAGUGGAAAGCUCAUCAAGUGACGGUAACUACCCAGAAAGGGACGGCUAACUACGUG
rnacentral:rRNA from 1 species